rnacentral:rRNA from 1 species
UUCCUACGGGGGGCAGCAGUGGGGAAUAUUGCACAAUGGGGGGAACCCUGAUGCAGCGACGCCGCGUGAAGGAAGAAGUAUUUCGGUAUGUAAACUUCUAUCAGCAGGGGAGAAAAAGGACGGUACCUGACUAAGAAGCCCCGGCUAACUACGCGCCAGCAGCCGCGGUAAUACGGAGGAUGCGAGCGUUAUCCGGAUUUAUUGGGUUUAAAGGGUGCGCAGGCGGUCUGUUAAGUCAGCGGUCAAAGCCCGGGGCUCAACCCCGGCCCGCCGUUGAAACUGGCAGUCUCGAGUUGGAGAGAAGU